ACUCCUGCGGGAGGCAGCAGUGGGGAAUUUUGGACAAUGGGCGAAAGCCUGAUCCAGCAAUGCCGCGUGAGUGAAGAAGGCCUUCGGGUUGUAAAGCUCUUUUGUCAGGGAAGAAACGGUGAAAGCUAAUAUCUUUUGCUAAUGACGGUACCUGAAGAAUAAGCACCGGCUAACUACGUGCCAGCAGCCGCGGUAAUACGUAGGGUGCAAGCGUUAAUCGGAAUUACUGGGCGUAAAGCGUGCGCAGGCGGUUUUGUAAGUCUGAUGUGAAAUCCCCGGGCUCAACCUGGGAAUUGCAUUGGAGACUGCAAGGCUAGAAUCUGGCAGAGGGGGGUAGAAUUCCACGUGUAGCAGUGAAAUGCGUAGAUAUGUGGAGGAACACCGAUGGCGAAGGCAGCCCCCUGGGUCAAGAUUGACGCUCAUGCACGAAAGCGUGGGGAGCAAACAGGAUUAGAUACCCCGGUAGUCCCAUGAU
rnacentral:rRNA from 1 species